rnacentral:tRNA from 1 species
GCCGGGGUGGCGAAACUGGCAGACGCAGGGGACUUAAAAUCCCUCGGAGGCAACCCCUCCAUGCGGGUUCGAUUCCCGCCCCCGGCACCA